AGUGGCGGACGGGUGAGUAACGCGUAAGAAUCUAACUUCAGGACGGGGACAACAGUGGGAAACGACUGCUAAUACCCGAUGUGCCGCGAGGUGAAACCUAAUUGGCCUGAAGAAGAGCUUGCGUCUGAUUAGCUAGUUGGUGGGGUAAGAGCCUACCAAGGCGACGAUCAGUAGCUGGUCUGAGAGGAUGAGCAGCCACACUGGGACUGAGACACGGCCCAGACUCCUACGGGAGGCAGCAGUGGGGAAUUUUCCGCAAUGGGCGAAAGCCUGACGGAGCAACGCCGCGUGAGGGAGGAAGGUCUUUGGAUUGUAAACCUCUUUUCUCAAGGAAGAAGUUCUGACGGUACUUGAGGAAUCAGCCUCGGCUAACUCCGUGCCAGCAGCCGCGGUAAUACGGGGGAGGCAAGCGUUAUCCGGAAUUAUUGGGCGUAAAGCGUCCGCAGGUGGUCAGCCAAGUCUGCUGUCAAAUCAGGUUGCUUAACGACCUAAAGGCGGUGGAAACUGGCAGACUAGAGAGCAGUAGGGGUAGCAGGAAUUCCCAGUGUAGCGGUGAAAUGCGUAGAGAUUGGGAAGAACAUCGGUGGCGAAAGCGUGCUACUGGGCUGUAUCUGACACUCAGGGACGAAAGCUAGGGGAGCGAAAGGGAUUAGAUACCCCUGUAGUCCUAGCCGUAAACGAUGGAUACUAGGCGUGGCUU
rnacentral:rRNA from 1 species